GAAGGGGGCUAGCGUUGUUCGGAAUUACUGGGCGUAAAGCGCGCGCAGGCGGUUUUCCAAGUCAGAGGUGAAAGCCCAGAGCUCAACUCUGGAACUGCCUUUGAAACUGGAAAACUAGGGUACGGGAGAGGUGAGUGGAAUUCCGAGUGUAGAGGUGAAAUUCGUAGAUAUUCGGAAGAACACCAGUGGCGAAGGCGGCUCACUGGCCCGUUACCGACGCUCAGGCGCGACAGCGUGGGGAGCAAACAGGAUUAGAUACCCUGGUAGUCCACGCCGUAAACGAUGGAUGCUAGCCGUUGGUAAGCAUGCUUAUCAGUGGCGCAGCUAACGCAUUAAGCAUCCCGCCUGGGGAGUACGGCCGCAAGGUUG
rnacentral:rRNA from 1 species